GACAGAAAGGGCGACCCAUUGGAGUUUUAAAUUGGUGUAAAGGAUACGUAGCCGGCCGUAAAAAUGGCUAGAGUCAAAUAGAAGUAAUUACAAUACCUAGAGUAGGGCUGAUAUCUUAUGAUACUAGGGGGAGUGCUAAAGGCGAAGGCAUAUUACUAGGUAAUGACUGACGGUGAGGUAUGAAGGCUAAGGUAGCGAUAGGGAUUAGAAACC
rnacentral:rRNA from 1 species